rnacentral:rRNA from 1 species
CGAUCGGUGACAGUGGUGCAUGGUUGUCGUCAGCUCGUGUCGUGAGAUGUGGGUUAAGUCCCGCAACGAGCGCAACCCCUAUUGUUAGUUGCCAUCAUUCAGUUGGGCACUCUAGCGAGACUGCCGGUAAUAAACCGGAGGAAGGUGGGGAUGACGUCAAAUCAUCAUGCCCCUUAUGACCUGGGCUACACACGUGCUACAAUGGUUGGUACAACGAGUUGCGAGUCGGUGACGGCGAGCUAAUCUCUUAAAGCCAAUCUCAGUUCGGAUUGUAGGCUGCAACUCGCCUACAUGAAGUCGGAAUCGCUAGUAAUCGCGGAUCAGCACGCCGCGGUGAAUACGUUCCCGGGCCUU